rnacentral:lncRNA from 1 species
UAGUAUUAUCUCCCAUGCCGGAAUCACCAUUUUUGCUUUGGCAGGAUUUAGAGCGGCGCCGCUUACGCCGGCGCUUUGGCUGUUUCUUGGGGGCGUCAUCCCCCACUGUUCCAUCGCCAUCUCCAUCUUUUGGAGUAUCCACCAUAUAUAUGUCAUAUGACGAGGUGGCCUUCCAGCGCCCUACAGGUGCUGGUUCCUAUUCGUCUCGUACAUCGUCGUCCAUGCCGUCGAUGUCUUCGGAGCUGAAGUCAAGCAUGUCGGUUAGAUCGUCGACAGUGGCUACAAAGUGGGUGCUGGGUGGGCUUUGAAUUUCCUCAUCGUCCGUAUCCCACCCUCACUGACCGUAGUCCGGCCAGGGCUCUCCUGAUAAAGAGAGAGACUUAAGAGAAUUCAGGAUGUCGCCAAAAGGCGAAUGCUGAAAGAUGUCUGCGGCGGUGAACUCCAUUAUCGGCACCCAAUCGGAUUCGAUUGGCAGGGGCGUGGGGGGUUCGGAGUCCGGGGAGGAGUUCGGAUCCUCGUAGUCACGGGUCGUGCAGAGUGCGGGGCUAGCGUUCGGCUCGAUAGCUUUCAGGAUCGCAGCCCCUGAGGUGAUGUCCAACCAUUCAUCCUCGAUUGGCGUAAUAGGCUCCGAGUUAGGGGUCGGAACCGAUGCAUGUGCGGCCUCCAGGACACUGUCCGGGGGCAGAGCUAGAUCAUGCCCCUCGAGAUAGUGCGGCGCGCUUGGCCGUGGCUCGAGACCAUCGAAGAUCAAGUCUCUGCGGAUGUCAGCCGUGUAGUUUAAGCUUCCAAACCUGACUUGAUGGCCAGGGGCGUAACUUUUGAUCUGCUCCAGGUGGCCGAGCGAAUUGGCCCGCAGAGCGAAGAUCUAUCUGGGGAGCAAAGUCUCACCCUGGACCGCAUCGUUGUUGAUGAUCAAAGGAGCCAUCGGGCCUAAAGGCGACGACACAGAGGAACUCUCAAUGAAAGCACCAAUGACGGUGUCAAAACCGGCGGAUCUCGAGUAGUGGGUCCCGAACUGUGCGUCUAGGCCGGAUGGUAACAGGAGACAGGGAACAUGAUGUUUUACCCAGGUUCGGGCCCUCUUGAUGGAGGUAAAACCCUACGUCCUGCUUGAUUAAUAUUGAUGAUAUGGGUAGUACAAGAGUAGAUAUACCACGAGAUCAAGGAGGCUAAACCCUAGAAGCUAGCCUAUGGUAUGAUUGUUGUAUAUGGAGUUGAUUGCCUAUGGACUACAACCCUCCGGUUUAUAUAGACACCGGAUAGGGUUAGGGUUACAUAGAGUCGGUUACAAUGGUAGGAGAUCCUGAAUAUCCGCAUCGCCAAGCUUGCCUUCCACGCCAAGGAAAGUCCCAUCCGGACACGGGACGAAGUCUUCAAUCUUGUAUCUUCAUAGUCCAGGAGUCCGGCUGAAGGUAUAAUCCGGCUACCCGAACACCCCCUAAUCCAGGACUCCCUCACCCAUAUCUACUCAAGUCAUCAGUGAGGGUUAGAACAUAACGAUAGCCACCACGAGCCUCAACACUCAUUGGACCGCACACAUCAGUAUGUAUGAUUUCCAAUAAGUUGGUUGCUCGCUCCAUUGUUCCUGAGAACGGAGUCUUGGUCAUUUUACCCAUGAGGCAUGGUUCGCACGUGUCAAAUGAUUCGUAAUCAAGAGACUCUAAAAGUCCAUCUGCAUGGAGCUUCUUCAUGCGUUUGACACCUAUGUGACCAAGGCGGCAGUGCCACAAGUAUGUGGGACUAUCAUUAUCAACCUUACAUCUUUUGGUAUUCACACUAUGAAUAUGUGUAGCAUUACGCUCGAGAUUCAUUAAGAAUAAACCACACCAUCGGAGCAUGACCAUAAAACAUAUCUCUCAUAUAAAUAGAACAACCAUUAUUCUCAGAUUUAAAUGAGUAGCCAUCUCAAAUUAAACGAGAUCCUGAUACAAUGUUCAUGCUCAAAGCUGGCACUAAAUAACAAUUAUUGAGGUUUAAAACUAAUCCCGUAGGUAAAUGUAGAGGUAGCAUGCCGACGGCGAUCACAUCAACCUUGGAACCAUUCCCGACGCGCAUCGUCACCUCGUCCUUCGCCAGUCUCCGCUUAUUCCGCAGCUCCUGCUUUGAGUUACAAAUGUGAGCAACGGCACCGGUAUCAAAUACCCAGGAGCUACUACGAGUACUGGUAAGGUACACAUCAAUUACAUGUAUAUCACAUAUACCUUUAGUGUUGCCGGCCUUCUUGUCCGCUAAGUAUUUGGGGCAGUUCCGCUUCCAAUGACCAUUUCCCUUACAAUAAAAGCACUUAGUCUCGGGCUUGGGUCCAUUCUUUGGCUUCUUCCUGGCAGCUUGCUUACCGGGCGCGGCAACUCCCUUGUCGUCCUUCUUGAAGUUCUUCUUACCCUUGCCUUUCUUAAACUUAGUGGUUUUAUUCACCAUCAACACUUGAUGUUCCUUUUUGAUUUCCACCUCUGCUGAUUUCAGCAUUGAAUACACCUCAGGAAUGGUCUUUUCCAUCCCCUGCAUAUUGAAGUUCAUCACAAAGCUCUUGUAGCUUGGUGGAAGCGACUGAAGGAUUAUGUCAAUGACCGCGUCAUCCGGGAGAUUAACUCCCAGCUGAGACAAGAGGUUAUGCAACCCAGACAUUGUGAGUAUGUGCUCACUGACAGAACUAUUUUCCUCCAUCUUACAGCUGAAGAACUUGUCGGAGAAUUCAUAUCUCUCGACCCGGGCAUGAGCUUGAAAAACCAUUUUCAGCUCUUCGAACAUCGCAUAUGCUCCGUGUCUCUCAAAACGCUUUUGGAGCCCCGGUUCUAAGCUGUAAAGCAUGCCGCACUGAACGAGGGAGUAAUCAUCAGCACGUGACUGCCAAGCGUUCAUAACGUCUUGGUUCUCUGGGACAGGUGCGUCACCUAGCGGUGCUUCUAGGACAUAAUCUUUCUUGGCAGCUAUGAGGAUGAUCCUCAGGUUCCGGACCCAGUCCGUAUAGUUGCUGCCAUCGUCUUUCAGCUUGGUUUUCUCUAGGAACGCGUUGAAGUUGAGGACAACAUGGGCCAUUUGAUCUACAAGACAUAUUGUAAAGAUUUUAGACUAAGUUCAUGAUAAUUAAGUUCAUCUAAUCAAAUUAUUCAAUGAACUCCCACUCAGAUAGACAUCCCUCCAGUCAUCUAAGUAUAACAUGAUCCGAGUUAACUAGGCCGUGUCCAAUCAUCACGUGAGAUGGACUAGUCAACAUCGGUGAACAUCUUCAUGUUGAUCGUAUCUUCUAUACGACUCAUGCUCGACCUUUCGGUCUUCUGUGUUCCGAGGCCAUGUCUGUACAUGCUAGGCUCGUCAAUUCAACCUAAGUGUAUUGCGUGUGUAAAUCUGGCUUACACCCGUUGUAUUCGAACGUUAGAAUCUAUCACACCCGAUCAUCAUGUGGUGCUUCGAAACAACGAACCUUCGCAACGGUGCACAGUUAGGGGGAACACUUUCUUGAAAUUAUUUCGAGGGAUCAUCUUAUUUAAGCUACUGUCGUUCUAAGCAAAUAAGAUGCAAAACAUGAUAAACAUCACAUGCAAUCAAAUAGUGACAUGAUAUGGCCAAUAUCAUUUGCUCCUUUUGAUCUCCAUCUUCGGGGCUCCAUGAUCAUCGUUGUCACCGGCAUGACACCAUGAUCUCCAUCAUCAUGAUCUCCAUCAUCGUGUCUUCUUGAAGUUGUCUCGUCAUCUAUUACUUCUACUACUAUGGCUAACGCUUUAGCAAUAAAGUAAAGUAAUUACAUGACGUUUAUGUUGACACGCAGGUCAUAAAUAAAUAAAGACAACUCCUAUGGCUCCUGCCGGUUGUCAUACUCAUCGACAUGCAAGUCGUGAUUCCUAUUACAAGAACAUGAUCAUCGCAUACAUCACAUCCUUUGGCCAUAUCACAUCACAAAACACUUGCUGCAAAAACAAGUUAGACGUCCUCUAAUUGUUGUUGCAAGUUUUUACGUGGCUGCUAUAGGUUUCUAGCAAGAACGUUCCUUACCUACACCAAAACCACAACGUGAAUUGCCAAUUUCUAUUUACCCUUCAUAAGGACCCUGUUCAUCGAAUCUGAUCCGACUAAAGUGGAAGAUACAGACACCCGCCAGCCACCUUAUGCAACUAGUGCAUGUCAGUCGGUGGAACCGGUCUCACGUAAGCGUACGUGUAAGGUUCGUCCGAGCCGCUUCAUCCCACAAUGUCGCCGAAUCAAGAUAAGACUAGUAACGGCAAGAUAAUUGACAAUAUCGACGCCCACAACUGCUUUGUGUUCUACUCGUGCAUAGUAACUAUGCAUAGAACUAGCUCAUGAUGCCACUGAUGGGGAACGUAACAGAAUUUUAAAAUUUUCUACGCAUCACCAAGAUCAAUCUAUGGAGUCAUCUAGCAACGAGGGAGAGAGGAGUGCAUCUACAUACCCUUGUAGAUCACGAGUGGAAGCGUUCAAGAGAACGGGGUUGAUGGAGUCGUACUCGUCGUGAUCCAAAUCACCGAAGAUCCUAGCGCCGAACGGACGGCACCUCCGCGUUCAACACACGUAUGGAGCGAGGACGUCUCCCGCGCCUUGAUCCAGCAAGGAGGAGGGAGAGGUUGAGGAAGAGGGCUCCAACAGCAGCACGACGGCGUGGUGGUGGUGAAGCUGCAGUACUCCGGCAGGGCUUCGCCAAGCUCUAACGGAGGAGGAGAGGUGUACGGGAGGGGAGGGGCUGCGCCUUGGAUGUUGUAUGCAGCCCUCCCCUCACCCCUCUAUUUAUAGGGGAAGGGGGAAGGGGGCCGGCCCCCUCUAGAUGAGAUCUAGAGGGGGGGCGGCCAAGGGGAGGGGGCUUGCCCCCCAAGCAAGGGGGCCCCCCCUUUAGGGUUUCCCCCCAACCCUAGGCGCAUGGGCCCUAGGGGGGUGUGGCGCCCCAGCCCACUUGGGAUGGUUCCCUUCUCCAUACAGCCCAUAAGGCCCUUCGGAAGAGGUGGCCCCUCCCGGUGGACCCCCGGAACCCCUCCGGUGGCCCCGGUACAAUACCGAUAUGCCCCCGAACCUUUCCAGCGACCGUAUGACAACUUCCCAUAUAUAAAUCUUUACCUCCGGACCAUUCCGGAAGUCCUCGUGACGUCCGGGAUCUCAUCUGGGACUCCGAACAACAUUCGGUAAUCACAUACAAGUCUUCCUAACAACCCUAGCGUCACCGAACCUUAAGUGUGUAGACCCUAUGGGUUCGGGAGACAUGCAAACAUGACCGAGACGACUCUCCGGUCAAUAACCAACAGCGGGAUCUGGAUACCCAUGUUGGCUCCCACAUGCUCCACGAUGAUCUCAUCGGAUGAACCGCGAUGUCGAGGAUUAAAUCAAUCCGUAUACAAUUCCCUUUGUCAAUCGGUACAUUACUUGCCCGAGACUCGAUCGUCGGUAUCUCAAUACCUUGUUCAGUCUCGUUACCGGCAAGUCACUUUACUCGUGCCGUAAUGCAUGAUCCCAUGAUCAACCACUUGGUCACAUUGAGCUCAUUAUGAUGAUGCAUUACCGAGUGGGCCCAGAGAUACCUCUCCGUCAUACGGAGUGACAAAUCCCAGUCUCGAUUCAUGCCAACCCAACGGACACUUUCGGAGAUACCUGUAAUGUACCUUUAUAGUCAUCCAGUUACGUUGUGACGUUUGGCACACCCAAGGCACUCCUACGGUAUCCGGGAGUUGCAUAAUCGCAUGGUCUAAGGAAAUGAUACUUGACAUUCAGAAAAGCUACAGCAAAUGAACUACACGAUCUUUGAGCUAAGCUUAGGAUUGGGUCUUGUCCAUCACAUCAUUCUCCUAAUCAUGUGAUCCCGUUAUCAAUGACAUCCAAUGUCCAUAGUCAAGAAACCAUGACUAUCUUUUGAUCAACGAGCCAGUCAACUAGAGGCUCACUAGGGACGUGUUGUGGUCUAUGUAUUCACACAUGUAUUACGAUUUCCGGAUAACACAAUUAUAGCAUGAACAAUAGACAAUUAUCAUGAACAAAGAAAUAUAAUAAUAACCAUUUUAUUAUUGCCUCUAGGGCAUAUUUCCAACAGGAAGGUAUAGUGGACUCAUGUGGAAUAACUUUGGGGUUUAAGGGAUUGGAUGCACAAGCAGUAUUCCCUCUUAGUACAGGUGAAGGCUAGUAAAAGACUGGGAAGCGACCAGCUAGAGAGCGACAACAGUCAUGAACAUGCAUUAAAAUUAAUCAACACUGAAUGCAAACAUGAGUAGGAUAUAAUCCACCAUGAACAUAAAUAUUGUGAAGGCUAUGUUGAUUUUGUUUCAACUACAUGCGUGAACAUGCUCCAAGUCAAGUCACUUAAAUCAUUCAGAGGAGGAUACCACCCUAUCAUACCACAUCAUAACCAUUUCAAUAGCAUGUUGGCACUCAAGGUAAACCAUUAUAACUCAUAGCUAAUCAAGCAUGGCACAAGAACUAUGAUCUCUAGUUGUCAUUGCAAACAUGUUUAUUCAUAAUAGGCCGAAUCAGGAACGAUGAACUAAUCAUAUUUACAAAAACAAAAGAGGUCGAGUUCAUACCAACCUUUCUCAUCUCAGUCAGUCCAUCAUAUAUCGUCAUAAUUGCCUUUCACUUGCACGACCGAAUGAUGUGAAUAAUAAUAAUUGUGCAUGUGCAUUGGACUAAGCUGGAAUCUCCUCACAAAGGAACUAGUGAGAUUGUGAUACUGGCUGCACUUCUCUUCCUCGAAGCUCACAAGAUCAGCGUUACGCAAAUAUGCAUUAAAUUCUUCCUUAAUUCCCGCUCGAUCCAUAAAGUUCUCAGAAGGCCAUUCACAAGGACGCACUUUAGCAUCUCUUGGUGGCUCAUCAUUAGCAUCACACAUUGCAAGCCUGGGUCCUUGCUUCCUUGAAGAACCACCCUGGAACAUUUUCCUAAGCAUAUUUCUUCCUCUGAAAAAUUCUGAAUUUUUUUAGUAACUUCAAAAUAAAAGUAAACCAAACUCAAUAAUAUUGAUAGCAACUACUCCUACAAGUGCCUAGAGCCUAUAUCAUGCAUCAAAACUACUUGGAACCAUAUAAAUUUGACAUGCAAGCUCAAGAACAGGGUCACCUAAGCAGCCAAAAUUUGCAAUGAAUAAAGCACUAGAACAAAAACUAAUUGGACCAAUGGAGGAGUCACAUACCAAGGAACAAUCUCCCCAAGCAGUUUUGUGAGAGGUGCUUUGAGCAAGGAGAUAAAAAAUGGUAGCAAAAUGAGCUUGGACUCGGGUUUGAGCUGGUUGUUCGUGUUUGUGGAGGAAGAAGGAGUGUGUGGGUGAAAGGAUAAGUGGAGUAGGGCCAGCAUGGGCCCACAAGGUAGGGGGUGCACCUAGGGGCGUAGGGCGCGCCCUCCACCCUCGUGGGCAGGUGGGUGCCCCCCUGUUGUGUUCUCAGUGCCAAAUCUUCUCAAAUAUUCUAGAAAAAAUCAUAUUUAAAUUUUAGGGCAUUUGAAGAACUUUUAUUUUCGGGGUAUUUUUAUAGUGCACGGAUAAUUCAGAUAACAGACAGAAAAAUACUAUUUUUAUUUUAUUUAAUAUAAAUAACAGAAAGUAAAAGUGGGGUACAGAAGGUUGUGCCUUCUAGUUUCAUCCAUCUCAUGGUCAUCAAAAGGAAUCCACUAACAAGGUUGAUCAAGUCUUGUUAACGAACUCAUUCCGAAUAACAUGGAACCGGAGAAAUUUUGAAUAACACUAUGUUACCUCAACGGGGAUAUGCACGUCCCCAAUAAUAAGAAUAUCAUAUUUCUUCUUGACAGUAGGAAGAGGAAAUUCAAAACCUCCAAAUAUAACCGAUGGAAUUUUUCCAAUAGAGUUGAUACUAUGAACUUGAGGUUGUUUCCUCGGAAAGUGUACCAUGUGCUCAUUACCAUUAACAUGAAAAGUGACAUUGCCUUUAGUGCAAUCAAUAACAGCCCCUGCAAUAUUCAAAAAGGGUCUUCCAAGAAUAAUAGACAUACUAUCGUCCUCGGGAAUAUCAAGAAUAACAAAGUCCGUUAAAAUAGUAACGUUUGCAACUACAACAUGCACAUCCUCAUAAAUACCGACAGGUAUAGCAGUUGAUUUAUCAGCCAUUUGCAAAGAUAUUUCAGUAGGUCUCAACUUAUUCAAAUCAAGUCUAUGAUAUAAAGAGAGAGGCAUAACACUAACACCGGCUCCAAGAUCACAUAAAGCAGUUUUAACAUAGUUUCUUUUAAUGGAGCAUGGUAUAGUUGGUACACCGGGAUCUCCAAGUUUCUUUGGUAUUCCACCCUUAAAAGUAUAAUUAGCAAGCAUGGUGGAAAUUUCAGCUUCUUGUAUCUUUCUCUUAUUUGUAACAAUAUCUUUCAUAUACUUAGCAUAAGGAUUCAUUUUGAGAAUAUCAGUUAAUCGCAUACGCAAAAAGAUAGGUCUAAUCAUUUCAGCAAAGCGCUCAAAAUCCUCAUCAUCCUUUUUCUUGGAUGGUUUGGGAGGAAAAGGCAUGGGUUUCUGAACCCAUGGUUCUCUUUCUUUACCGUGUUUCCUAGCAACAAAAUCUUUCUUAUCAUAACGUUGAUUAUUUGAUUGUGGGUUAUCAAGAUCAACAGCAGGUUCAAUUUCUACAUCAUCAUCAUUGCUAGGCUGAGCAUCAUCAUGAACAUUAUCAUUAACAUUAUCACUAGUUUCAGGUUCAUUACCAACUUGUGUUUCAGCAUCAAAAAUAGAAAUAUCAUUUGGAUUCUUAGGUGUUUCAGUAAUAGGUUCACUAGAAGCAUGCAAAGUCCUAUCAUUUUUCUUUUUCUUCCUUUUAGAAGGACUCGGUGCAUCUAUAUUAUUUCUCUAAGAAUCUUGCUCAAUUCUCUUAGGGUGGCCUUCAGGAUACAAAGGUUCCCGAGUCAUUUUACCACCUCUAGUCAUAACUCUAACAGCAUUAUCAUUAUUCUUACUAUUCAAUUCAUUGAGCAAAUCAUUUUGAGCUUUAAGUACUUGUUCUACUUGAGUGGUAACCAUAGAAGCAUGUUUACUAAUAAGUUUAAGUUCACCUUUGACAUUAGCCAUAUAAUCACCCAAAGUGUUCAAGCAUAUUUGAAUUGUAUUUCAAUUGUCUACCAAAAUAAGCAUUAAAAUCUUCUUUCUUAACCAUAAAUUUAUCAAACUCAUCUAAGCAUGGGCUAGCAAACUUAGUAAAUGGGAUUUCAGCUUUAUCAUAUCUAUAGAGAGAAUUUACCUUUACUACCUGUGUCGGGUUAUCAAGACCAUGAGUUUCUUCAAUAGGUAAUGGAUUAAGAUCAUAUGUUUCUUCAACAGGCGGUAAAUUAAGACCAUGUAUUUCUUCAAUAGGAGGUAAAUUCUUAACAUCUUCAGCUUUAAUACCUUUUUCUUUCAUAGAUUUCUUUGCCUCUUGCAUAUCUUUAGGACUGAGAAAUAGAAUACCCCUCUUCUUCGGAGUUGGUUUGGGAAUAGGCUCAGGAAUUGGCUCCGGAGGUGUUCAAUUAUUUUCAUUUUUCAACAUAUUAUUCAAUAGAAUUUCAUCUUCAUCCGGUGUUCUUUCCCUGAAAACAGAACCAGCACAACUAUCCAGGUAAUCUCUGGAGGCAUCGGCUAGUCCAUUAUAAAAGAUAUCAAGUAUUUCAUUUUUCUUAAGAGGAUGAUCAGGCAAAGCAUUAAGUAAUUGGAGAAGCCUCCUCCAAGCUUGUGGGAGACUCUCCUCUUCAAUUUGCGCAAAAUUAUAUAUAUCCCUUAAAGCAGCUUGUUUCUUAUGAGCAGGGAAAUAUUUAGCUGAGAAGUAAUAAGUCAUAUCCUGGGGACUACGCACACAACAAGGAUCAAGAGAAUUAAACCAUAUCUUAGCAUCACCAUUUAAUGAGGACGCAAAUAUUUUAAGGAUAUAAAAGUAGCGAGUUCUCUCAUCAUUAGUGAACAGGGUAGCUAUAUCAUUUAAUUUAGUAAGAUGUUCCACAACAGUUUCAAAUUCAUAGCCAUGAAAAGGAUCAGAUUCAACCAAAGUAAUUAUAUCAGGAUCAACAGAGAAUUCAUAAUCCUUAUCAAUAACACAGAUAAGUGAAGUAGCAAAAGCAGGGUCAGGUUUCAUUCUAGCAUUUAGAGAUUGCUGAUUCCAUUUAGCUAAUAACAUCUUGAGUUCGUAUCUAUCUUUGCAAGCUAAAAUAGCUAAAGAAGCUUCUUUAUCAAAAACAUAACCCUCAGGAAUAACAGGCAAGUCUUCAUCAUCAAUUUCAUCAGUAUUAUCAGAUUCAAUAUUUCCAAUCUCUCUAGCCCUAGCAAGUUGUUUGUCAAUAAAUUCACUAAGUGGCACAGUAGUAUCAGGCAUAUAAGUAGUUUCAUCAUAAGUAUCAUGUAUAGCAGAAGUGGCACCAUCAAUAACAUGCGACAUAUCAGAACGAAUAACAGAAGUAGGUUUAGGUGUCGCAAGCUUACUCAAAACAGAAGGUGAAUCAAGUGCAGAGCUAGAUGGCAGUUCCUUUGAGGGAUAAAUCUUAGUUUUUGGACUCUCAAGUUCUUCAUAAUGAUAAGUAGAUAUAGAUCCCAAGUGACUCAAAGAAUAGAGCUAUGCUCCCCGGCAACAGCGCCAGCAAAUAGUCUUGAUAACCCACAAGUAUAGGGGAUCGCAACAGUUUUCGAGGGUAGAGUAUUCAACCCAAAUUUAUUGACUCGACACAAGGGGAGCCAAAGAAUAUUCUCAAGUAUUAGCAGCUGAGUUGUCAAUUCAAUCACACCUGGAAACUUAGUAUCUGCAGCAAAGUGUUUAGUAGCAAAGUAAUAUGAUAGUGGUGGUAACGGUAGCAAAAAGGUAACCGUAGUAAAAGUAAUGUUUUUGGUAUUUUAUAGUGAUGAUAGCAAUAGCAACGAAAAAGUAAAUAAGCGGAGAACAAUAUAUGGAAAGCUCGUAGGCAAUGGAUCAGUGAUGGAGAAUUAUGCCAGAUGCGGUUCAUCAUGUAACAGUCAUAACCUAGGGUGACACAGAAUUAGCUCUAGUUCAUCAAUGUAAUGUAGGUAUGUAUUCCGAAUAUAGUCAUACGUGCUUAUGGAAAAGAACUUGCAUGACAUCUUUUGUCCUACCCUCCCGUGGCAGCGGGGUCCUUACGGAAACUAAGGGAUAUUAAGGCCUCCUUUUAAUAGAGUACCGGAAUAAAGCAUUAACACAUAGUGAAUACAUGAACUCCUCAAACUACGGUCAUCACCGGUAAGUAUCCUGAUUAUUGUUACUUCGGGGUUAAUGGAUCAUAACACAUAAUAGGUGACUAUAGACUUGCAAGAUAGGAUCUAGAACUCUCAUAUAUUGAUGAAAACAUAAUAGGUUCAGAUAUGUAAUCAUGGCACUCGGGCCCUAGUGACAAGCAUUAAGCAUAGCAAAGUCAUAUCAACAUCAAUCUCAGAACAUAGUGGAUACUAGGGAUCAAACCCUAACAAAACUAACUCAAUUACAUGAUAGAUCACAUCCAACCCAUCACCGUCCAGCAAGCUUACGAUGAAAUUACUCAUGCACGGCGGUGAGCAUCAUGAAAUUGGUGAUGGAGGAUGGUUGAUGAUGACGAUGGCGACGGAUUCCCCUCUUCGGAGUCCCGAACGGACUCCAGAUCAGCCCUCCCGAGAGGUUUUAGGGCUUGGCGGCGGCUCCGUAUCGUAAAACGCGAUGAUUUCUUCUCUCUGAUUUUUUUCUCCCCGAAACACAAUAUAUAGAGUUGGAGUUGGAGUCGGAGGAGCUCCAGGGGCACGAGGUAGGGGGCGCGCCCCCCACCCUCGUGGACAGGUGGUGGCCCCCCUGGCCUUCAUCUUUUGCAAAGAUUUUCUAUAUUUUCCGAAAAGUUGUUCCGUGAAGUUUCAGGUCAUUCCGAGAACUUUUGUUUCUGCACAUAAAUAACACCAUGAUAAUUGUGCUGAAAACAGCGUCAGUUCGGGUUAGUUCCAUUCAAAUCAUGCAAGUUAGAGUCCAAAACAAGGGCAAAAAUGUUUGGAAAAGUAGAUACGACGGAGACGUAUCAGGCCCACAAGUGGGGGGGGGGGGCUAGGGCGCGCCUUGUGAACUUGUGUCCACCUCGUGACUUUCUGGCCUCCUCCCGAAGCUUCCAGGGUGUCUUGUAGUCCAAGAAAAAUCGUCAAAAAGUUUCGUUCCGUUUGGUAUUGAUUUUUCUGUGAAGACAAAAACAAGGAAAAAAUAGCAACUGACACUUGGCACUAGGUUAAUAGACUAUCCCAAAAAUGAUAUAAAAUAGCAUAAUAAUUCAUAUAAAACAUCCAAGAUUGAUAAUAUAAUAGCAUUGGAACAAUCAAAAAUUAUAGAUAGUUCUCAAAAAAAUCAAAAAUUAUAGAUACGUUGGAGACGUAUCAGCUGCUAUGUUGAAUUGUAAUCAUAAUCAACAUGCACAUCUCAAUAUGUACAUUAACACAUUUAAAACCUAAAAAUGACAAUUAACCCAAAAUAAUUGUGUAUUUUUUUCAAUGAUCAAGAUCAACAAGAUCUAUCUAAACAACAUCAUCUUCACACAUUCACGCAUUCAAAUAUGUCAAAUGUAAUAAUCCAAAAUGCAGAUACUAAUAGCGACAAGAUCUUUCAAGGACCAUUGAAGGCUAAAAUUUUGGUUGGUCGAAAACCAAGAUCUUCGAAGGUUCAUGGCUUGUAUUAAGCACGGUAUGGAAGAUAAAAGAGAACUUGCCAUUCCAAAUAUAUUAAGACCAUAAAAAUAAAAAAAUUGCAUUGAAUGAAGAGGCUUGAACUUGCAUGCAGAUAUUGGUUUAAACUUGUGGCUUCUUUGUUUCCCUGCAAACACCAUGGGAAGCAUGUAAGCAAACUUACUAUAGUAGUUAUCAGAUUUUAAGCUUCUAAAACUGACAUUACAUAGCAAGGCAUAAGACUUCCUGAGUGCUCACACACACACCAACAUGGUUUGGAUAUAUACAUGUAUUUCUCCUUAUUUCUAGCAGUAACUGAUGGUUUCCCAAGUACUAGACAAGAACCGAGCUAAACGGUGUCAAAAUUGUGCAAAGAAUAGUAACAUUACUCUCUCAAGACUGAACCCAAUGCUUCCCAGCAAUGUCUUCACGUAUUUGGAAAAAGAGAGAAGAUCAACAUAACACUUGACAUAGCAAUACCAUGUGAGUGGCAUGAAUAAAUACAGUUGUAAGACAUGCAAUUUGCUAAACCUUUUUUUUUUUGCAAAAAUACCAUAUCUAUUAUAAAAAUUCACUGGAAGUACAAAGCAUCCCAAACAUAAUAAAAAUUACAUCGAGAUCCAUAAAGAACCUAACGACCAUCGUUGCCGCGAACGAGUCGCCGACGCGCCGCUGUCGCCGCUCCCAUACCGGAGUCGGCCUGACCUUGUCGAUACCAGCUGGGAAGUCUUCGUGCACGUGCCCCUAAGGACCAGCGUUCAGGAGCCGCAGUCGUUGCCGUUGAAUCUUUGAAUCGAUCUGAAGAACCUGACAUCAAAUCUCGUCGUUGCAUGCAACGAGAAGCCCUAACCUCGCCGCUCCCGGGAGCUGGCAGGAAUCUACGCUGGAGCUCCUCUAAUCCGCCCCGACAAACGAACUUGAGGAGGAUCGGAGCCCAAGAGACUGACUCGAAGAAGAAACGUCGUCAUCUGUCCAAGAGCCGUCCUUGCGAGAACGAAAACCCUACCUAUAUAAGCCGAGGCACCAGGAGUACCCUCCGCCACCAGCCGUCGGAGCUGCAAGCGGAGGGGAGGCAAAUCGACAGGCUCGCCGAUGAAGAUCGAAGGGAAGAAGGCUUUCCCUAGUCGCCUUGCGAGAGGGGAAGGAAAAGGCUAAUUUUAAAUAGAAUUAUGUUUAAUUGCAAUUUGCUAAACCACUUGGGCUAAGAGUAAAAAUUUGAAGAUCAACAUCGUAUCAUUGAGGGUUGUUUGGUUUGUAGCCACACUUUGCCACAUGUUAAGUUAGGCAAGUUUUGUCAAAUUAGGUGUUUGUUUGAUUUUAGCCACACCUAAAGCAAAAUUCCUUUUGUGAAAAAUAAGCCUCAUAUGUCAUACGCAUAAAAAAUGUAGCAAGACUCCCCUAGACAAGUCAAAUUGUGGCUAACUAUUUGAGGACCUAAGAUCUUUUUUUAGAAACACCUGCAACUUUAUUGAUACUCAUAACAAUUACAAGUACACUGAUUUGGACCUAAGAUUCAAGAAAAUACAAACUAACUCCUAUGACUAAGAAUUACAAUGAAAAUACAAAGUAAUUUCUUGGAGGAAAACGUUUGUUUUAAGUCGGAUGAAAAGAACGAAACGCAAGCCGCUCCCGUUGAUCGACAUGUGUCCUCUCGCCCUCCACCGCUUCGCUCAGUCGGCCUUAUCUCUUCACCCCGUCUCUCCUCCACACGUUUUCAUCCCCGCUCACUUUUUUCUCUUUCCCAUCUCUGCUCGCGAGAAGAGGAGAGCCCCCAUGGCGUACUUCGGCCACGGUGCUGCGAAAAAGGGAGCGACGGCUCCACCACGCUCCUGCAUCCCACCACAAAUGGAGAGACGGUGAAGUCCGCACGCCACCGCCGCGGUGUUGCAUCCUCGAGGGUGCGACGCAAUGCGUAUGGGGGAGGCGCUCGCUCGUCGGUACCGCCGGCGAUGCGCCGCGCUCGUCGAUGACCAUCUGUGCUCCAAUGCAGAGCAACGCAUCCAUAGCCACAACACUGCGAUACAACCUACUGAUGCUGCAAGUUGCCAGCGGCGGAGCUGCAUUGGAGAGCUCUUGGGGCCAUUGGAGCUCCACCGCGGCUGCAGUGAAGCGUCACCGAAGGGUUGGGGUUGCAAUAUAGCGUCACCGGAGCUGCAGUGAAGCACGCCGGAGGGUCGUCGGGGUUGCAAUGGAGUGUCGCCAGGAGCUGCAGUGAAGCAGGCCGGAGGGUCGUCGGGGUUGCAAUGGAGCGUCGCCGGAGCUGCAGUGAAGCACGCCGGAGGUUGCAAUGGAGCGUCGGCGGUGCCACCGGUGCUGCCAUGAAAGCUGCUGCGCUUGGUACAGGGAAGGAAGACGAGGUUUGUGCUGCGAUCCAAUUGAUGCGCUGCGUAUAGGGAAGGAAGACGAGGUUGUGCUACGAUCCAACGGCAACCCCCGUCAGAUCGGACGGCUGGUUAGGCGGAUGAUUUCCCGAGGAAAUCAUCCGACUUAUUCGUAGCAGUCGCCUUUCUUAGAUGGCGGGGGCGACGGCGGCACGAGAAACCCUAGCUAGCCAAUCUCUUGGUAGGUCGCGACUAUUUGAGCACUUAAGAUAAAAGCAAGUGCGACAAACACAUUGUGAUAAACUGUGGCAAAAUCAGUCACAAACCAAACAAGCCCUGAGUUUUUUUUUGUUCCUUUCAGCCAAACGGGCUGUAAGAGUUAUAUUGGGCUGGUCCACAAGUCCAGCCCAAUACCCAAUAGGCUGAGCGGUCAGCUUGUCAAAGGGGAAUCCCGUGUACGAUUGGGACCCGGGUCAACCCGGACCCGUUUUAUAGAGGAAGCCACAACGGCGGCGAUGCGGCUACUCUCCGGCGUCCCCGCCUCCCGCCUCACCUCCCCGCGCAUCUCCUUCGCCCGCUCGAGCCGUAGAAGCAUGGGGGCGAACGGCCCCGCAAGCAGCACCGCCGCCUCGUCAUCCUCUUCCUCGGCCACUGCCGGCGCCGGCGCCGGCGCGGCCCAGAAGCCGUGGCUGUUCGUCGGGCUCGGGAACCCCGGCAGGAUGUACAAGGGGACCCGCCACAACGUAAGAUUCCGGCGAUCCAGCUAUCUGGAUCCCGCUUUGCUUAUCUUGAAAGGAACUGUGCGUUUUCAGCUGGUAGCCCUGUCGACUGUCCAAGUUAAUCAUGAUGCAAUUCAUAAAUCCUAGUAGUAUUUGCUAGAAAUCACAAUUUUCUGAAGCCAUUUAUACUAUGUCUACAAACGUUGAUGUUGCGUGGUUGGAAAGGCUAAAUUAGGCUUUGAUGCUAAGCUCUUCGCCAGGGUAAAGGUGUUAUCUUUUUGGUUGCUUGAUACUACAAACUCUUGGCUUUCAGUUAACUGCGCACUGUCCCGAUUAAUGUGAUUAGUUGAACUAUAUUCUGGAUUACAGUAUAUCACUAUUAUAUCCUGUUGGUAACCAUUCUGUUGUUGCAUACAGGUUGGGUUUGAGAUGAUUGAUGCUAUUGCAGAAGCUGAGGGGAUAUCUGUCAGCACUAAGCAGUUCAAAUCGAUGGUUGGGAAAGGUAAUUUCCACAUAAAGCUUGUUGAUCUACAAAAAGUGCAGCUGUGCGUAGCUAUACAUUUGAGAUAUACUCUUAUUUUGCGACGGAGGGAGUAAUUUAUAACUGACCACUGCAACAAGCUAAAUGUUGGCCUGCUCAAAUUAUGUCUAGCUCUGUUUUUGAAUUAUGUUUUCUGGCAGCUUAUUUUUACUUCGCUAGUUGUUCACAUAGAGAGCAACCAAAUAAGGCUUGUUGGUUAAGACUUGGUAUCCAUCAUUCUGUUCCUGACACACAUUCUGUAAGAAAGCACAAUAAAAUGUUCUUGCUUUUUCUAUUGAGUACUCCCUCCGUCCGGAAAUACUUGUCAUCAAAAUGAACAAAAAGGGAUGUAUCUAGAACUAGAAUACGUCUAGAUACAUCUUCCUUUAUCCAUUUUGAUGAUAAGUAUUUCCAGACGGAGGGAGUAUUAUCCAACUCCAGGACGUUGUAAUAGUCUAAUACUCCCUCUGUUCCUAAAUAUAAGUCUUUUUAGACAUUUCAAAUAGACUACCACAUACGGAUGUAUAUAGACAUAUUUUAGAGUGUAGAUUCACUCAUUUUGCUCCAACGUUUACGAGUCGAAGAGUCGACGAGCCGUUCCAAGGUUGAGACUCAUAGACUAGUCUAGACUAGUGCAAGACUAGUCGACAUGGUACUGUAGCACUGAACUUACAGUACAUAACUAAUAAUACCUAGUAGUAGUAUGUAGUACUACACUAUAUAAGUAUACAAGUACAGUAUACAAUUGAAACAAGCAAAGUGGAGUCACUGAGGCAGAGCAGCACCAGCAACUAGCAGCAAGCACAGCAGCACCAGCAGUCUAUCUGCGAGCAGAGCAGCACCAACAGCAAGCAGAGCAGCACCAGCAGUCCAGCAGCGAAGCAGAGCAACAGCAGCGGCAAGCCAAGAAGAAAGAGGAGG